AUGCAUGCGCUGUUGCCGAUGGCACCGUGCCGUUCGCCAUGGACGUCGCCAAGGAGCUCGGCAUCCCGACGAUCGCCUUUGCGACGCACAGUGCCUGCAGCUACGUACCUGGCGCUCCUGUCCAUGCCCAAGCUCGGCGAGAGCCCCUUCCCUGCGGACGACCCGGUGUGCGGCGUUCCGGGGAUGGAGGGCUUCCUCCGGCGCCGAGAUCUUCCUCGGGGACUGCUGCGCUCGCUGAACAAGGCGACAGAGACCCCUGGGUGCUCAAGCUCGCCGAGGUCACCGCUCGCUCCAGCAAGGUAUGUGCGCUCAUACUCAACACCGCCGCGUCCAUGGAGCAGCCAGCGCUUGCCCACAUUGCGUCGCGCACAAGCAACAUGUUUGCAACCGCUGCGAUGA
rnacentral:rRNA from 1 species